UCCUGGUUAGCUUAGUUGGUAGAGCACUUCACUGAAAAUGGAGAGGUCCCUGUUUGAUACGACGACCAGGCG
rnacentral:tRNA from 1 species